rnacentral:rRNA from 1 species
UACGGAGGGUGCGAGCGUUAAUCGGAAUUACUGGGCGUAAAGGGCUCGUAGGCGGCCAACUAAGUCAGACGUGAAAUCCCCAGGCUCAACCUGGGAACUGCGUCUGAUACUGGUUGGCUUGAAUCCGGGAGAGGGAUGCAGAAUUCCAGGUGUAGCGGUGAAAUGCGUAGAUAUCUGGAGGAAUACCGGUGGCGAAGGCGGCAUCCUGGACCGGCAUUGACGCUGAGGAGCGAAAGCCAGGGGAGCAAACGGG